rnacentral:rRNA from 1 species
GAUGAACGCUGGCGGCGUGCCUAAUACAUGCAAGUCGAGCGAACAGACGAGGAGCUUGCUCCUCUGACGUUAGCGGCGGACGGGUGAGUAACACGUGGAUAACCUACCUAUAAGACUGGGAUAACUUCGGGAAACCGGAGCUAAUACCGGAUAAUAUAUUGAACCGCAUGGUUCAAUAGUGAAAGACGGUUUUGCUGUCACUUAUAGAUGGAUCCGCGCCGCAUUAGCUAGUUGGUAAGGUACCGGCUUACCAAGGCAACGAUGCGUAGCCGACCUGAGAGGGUGAUCGGCCACCCUGGAACUGAGACACGGUCCAGACUCCUACGGGAGGCAGCAGUAGGGAAUCUUCCGCAAUGGGCGAAAGCCUGACGGAGCAACGCCGCGUGAGUGAUGAAGGUCUUCGGAUCGUAAAACUCUGUUAUUAGGGAAGAACAAAUGUGUAAGUAACUAUGCACGUCUUGACGGUACCUAAUCAGAAAGCCACGGCUAACUACGUG